UCCACAUCUCGGUCUUUUGGCUAAGAUCAAAUGUCGUAUCUGUUCCUAUCAGUUUAAUAUCUGAUACGUCCUCGAUGAGAGGACUUUAUAUUAAAUGGAUUUUUGGGCUCCGGUUUGAAAAUUUAUAUAUAUUUUUGAGCCACUUGCCGAGGCAAUCGGCUCUGGGGCAGACGUGUU
rnacentral:snRNA from 1 species